ACUGGAGUUUGAUCCUGGCUCAGAUUGAACGCUGGCGGCAUGCCUUACACAUGCAAGUCGAACGGCAGCACGGGAGCAAUCCUGGUGGCGAGUGGCGAACGGGUGAGUAAUAUAUCGGAACGUGCCCAGUCGUGGGGGAUAACGUAGCGAAAGCUACGCUAAUACCGCAUACGAUCUAUGGAUGAAAGCGGGGGAUCGCAAGACCUCGCGCGAUUGGAGUGGCCGAUAUCAGAUUAGGUAGUUGGUGAGGUAAAAGCUCACCAAGCCUGCGAUCUGUAGCUGGUCUGAGAGGACGACCAGCCACACUGGAACUGAGACACGGUCCAGACUCCGUACGGGAGCAGCAGUGGGGGAAUAUUGGGCAAUGGAGGAAACUCUGACCCAGCGACGCCGCGUGC
rnacentral:rRNA from 1 species